AAGGUGCGAGCGUUAAUCGGAAUUAUUGGGCGUAAAGGGCACGUAGGUGGUUGAAUAAGUUAGGUGUAAAAUUCCCGGGCUUAACCCGGGGUGGUCGCCUGAUACUGUUUAACUAGAGUAGGGAAGANGGAAGUGGAAUUCUCGGUGUAGCGGUGAAAUGCGUANAUAUCGGGAGGAACACCAGUGGCGAAGGCGGCUUCCUGGUCCACUACUGACACUCAAGUGCGANAGCGUGGGGAGCAAACAGGAUUAGAUACCCUGGUAGUCCACGCUGUNAACGAUGAAAACUAGACGUUGGGGGGCUUGUCCCCUUUGUGUCUUAGCUAACGCGAUAAGUUUUCCGCCUGGGGANUACGGCCGCAANGUUNAAACUCAAANGAAUUGAACGGGGGCCCNCCCAAACCGUGGAACAUGUUGUUUAAUUCNAUGCCACNCGAAAAACCUUACUACCCUUGACUACUUGGAAUCUGCUGGAAACACCGANUCCCAAAGGAACAAAAACAGUNCUGCAUGCUGUCUCACCNCCUUUCUUNAAAAUUNGGUUAAUCCCUUAACAACNCACCCUUUUCUUAUUUUCCNCCCUCUUGGCGGAACUAUAAGAACUUUCGUAAACCGGAAANAAAGUUGGGANAAAUCCAUUCUCCUGGCCNUUUUGG
rnacentral:rRNA from 1 species